CAAGGAAUAGUUUAUUAAAAAUUUUAAUUUUGGAGAUUAAAGAAGGGAGAAUACUUCUUUCCUUGA
rnacentral:tRNA from 1 species